rnacentral:rRNA from 1 species
UUGAACGCUGGCGGAAUGCUUUACACAUGCAAGUCGAACGGCAGCACGGGGGCAACCCUGGUGGCGAGUGGCGAACGGGUGAGUAAUGUAUCGGAACGUACCCAGUCGUGGGGGAUAACUAUCCGAAAGGAUAGCUAAUACCGCAUACGUCCUGAGGGAGAAAGCGGGGGAUCGCAAGACCUCGCGCGAUUGGAGCGGCCGAUAUCGGAUUAGCUAGUUGGUGAGGUAAAGGCUCACCAAGGCGACGAUCCGUAGCGGGUCUGAGAGGAUGAUCCGCCACACUGGGACUGAGACACGGCCCAGACUCCUACGGGAGGCAGCAGUGGGGAAUUUUGGACAAUGGGCGAAAGCCUGAUCCAGCCAUGCCGCGUGAGUGAAGAAGGCCUUCGGGUUGUAAAGCUCUUUCAGCCGGAAAGAAAUCGCGCAGGCUAAUACUCUGCGUGGAUGACGGUACCGGAAGAAGAAGCACCGGCUAACUACGU